rnacentral:rRNA from 1 species
CGCACGGGUGAGUAACGCGUGAGAAUCUGCCUUCAGGAUGGGGAUAACAGCGGGAAACUGCUGCUAAUACCCAAUGUGCCGAGAGGUGAAAGUAUUUCGCCUGAAGAGGAGCUCGCGUCUGAUUAGCUAGUUGGUGUGGUAAGAGCGCACCAAGGCAACGAUCAGUAGCUGGUCUGAGAGGAUGAGCAGCCACACUGGGACUGAGACACGGCCCAGACUCCUACGGGAGGCAGCAGUGGGGAAUUUUCCGCAAUGGGCGAAAGCCUGACGGAGCAAUACCGCGUGAGGGAAGAAGGUUCAAGUAAUUGUAAACCUCUUUUAUCAGGGAAGAAAAAAAUGACGUUACCUGAAGAAAAAGCAUCGGCUAACUCCGUGCCAGCAGCCGCGGUAAUACGGAGGAUGCAAGCGUUAUCCGGAAUUAUUGGGCGUAAAGCGUCCGCAGGUGGUGAAACAAGUCUGCUGUCAAAGACCAGAGCUUAACUCUGGGAAGGCGGUGGAAACUGUAGCACUAGAGACCGGUAGGGGUAGAGGGAAUUCCCAGUGUAGCGGUGAAAUGCGUAGAGAUUGGGAAGAACACCAGUGGCGAAAGCGCUCUACUGGGCCGGAACUGACACUAAGGGACGAAAGCUAGGGGAGCGAAAGGGAUUAGAUACCCCUGUAGUC